rnacentral:lncRNA from 10 species
GGCAGGACCCAGGCGCGGGUCCUCCUUCCUCCUCCCGCCCCCUCGCGGUCAGACAACAGGUCUACCUGGAGAAAAUGUUGAGCAUUAGAAAGAGCAAAAGCUUCGGAGUCGCCCAGCUGCAGAUCCAAAUCCCAGCUCCCAGCUCCACUGUUCCAUUCAUUCGCUCGCUGGGUAUUUGUUGAACAUCUGCUACAUAGGAGGCACUGUACUUUGUGUUGAGUACAUCAUUGAUUUGGAUGAAAAUCCUUGCUGUCACAGAGCUCACAUCCUAAUGGAACAUUUUAUUUGCUACUUGACCUCAGAAGACUUUAUGCCGAGGAGUCCUGGAAUAUCUC